AGUGAACGCUGGCGGUAGGCCUAACACAUGCAAGUCGAACGGCAGCACAGGAGAGCUUGCUCUCUGGGUGGCGAGUGGCGGACGGGUGAGGAAUACAUCGGAAUCUACUCUGUCGUGGGGGAUAACGUAGGGAAACUUACGCUAAUACCGCAUACGACCUACGGGUGAAAGCAGGGGACCUUCGGGCCUUGCGCGAUUGCAUGAGCCGAUGUCGGAUUAGCUAGUUGGCGGGGUAAAGGCCCACCAAGGCGCCGAUCCGUAGCCGGUCUGAGAGAAUGAUCAGCCACACUGGAACUGAGACACGGUCCAGACUCCUACGGGAGGCAGCAGUGGGGAAUAUUGGACAAUGGGCGCAAGCCUGAUCCAGCCAUACCGCGUGGGUGAAGAAGGCCUUCGGGUUGUAAAGCCCUUUUGUUGGGAAGGAAAUCCAGCUGGCUAAUACCCGGUUGGGAUGACGGUACCCAAAGAAUAAGCACCGGCUAACUUCGUGCCAGCCGCCGCAGUAA
rnacentral:rRNA from 1 species